CAUAGUCUGUGACCUCAAAUAUUAACCCUUAACUGUCACACUUAAGCAGAGUUUCCAUAAGGGUCACACGUUACGUUGAGGUCACUGUGCUCCCAGAUGACCCUUAAGGAUUAAUAACGAAUGAUACGUCCUUAUUAACGCUCCGUCGAUUCCACAUCGCCAGCAAAUAGUCUCAACAGAUGCAAGUAGGAUCAACAGAGUUGAAAAAUAUUUAGUCAGAAUGAUCGUCGUACUGGCGUAAUGGACCGGCGCAAUAUUUUCACAGACUAUUAUAUAAAAGGCCAGACCACGCAACAUCGUCAAUCCUUCACCGUCCAUCCAAUGUGGAUCGACUCGAAGAGUUUGUUUUAAGUGGUAAAUCGCACCAGUAUUGUUGCCCUUGAGGUGCAGCAACAAUCCGAUCAGAAAAUUGGUGUGUGG